GUGCGGCUCUCUCCACAAUGGGCACGGUCAUCAGCAAGAGACUUGGGGAUAUGAGGAAUUCUGCAACCUUCAAGUCAUUUGAGGAUAAAAUGGGGAGCCUGAAGUAUAAGGUUGUUGGCCCCAAAGAGAAUGAAGAUGCAGUCAGCUCCCCUACCAACACCACCCCCACUCAGGAGAACCCACCUUUCUGAAUGUAUCCCUCCUCCUCCUCCUUGCUGCCACCUCCCUCACGACCUGAGACUGUACUGUUCUCACCUCACAUUGCAGAGUCAGCCCUGACAUUUGACCCUCCGCCUCACUGACUUGCCACUGCUCAUUUUCCUCGAGUUCUGUUCAUGAUGCCAGAGGUGAAGGACUCCUGGGUUUGAGAUGGGACAAGCGUACCCUGCCGGUCCCACUGCUUGCACCACAGCUUCCAUUCUUCUGCCACCCUGUUGAGGAAAAUUUUUGUUGUCUAAACCUGAAUAUCUUAAAAGGCCUUUCGUUAGUAUAUCACCUCUGCCUAUUUUCACUCCCUCCCCACUGUGAUCCUCACCUGUUUUAGUUCAAAAUAAAUCAACACUCAGCUGCUGCACUCUUCAGAUGCCUUUAUGAACAGGUUUGCUUUGAUCAGAAAGUCACUUAAAGGCUACAAAGGCAUUAUACCCUGUACUAAACUAAAUGAUAAAGUUUGUCUUUCAUUCUGGGAUAGAGAUUUCCCAAAGGUGCUGCUGAAAUUGUACAUGAAAAAUUAACCUUGCAGUGUAUUUGGGCCCCAAAGCUUAGAAACUAGGCUAUCUGCAGAGUGAGUGUGGAGGGGGAUUUUAGGGCCAUAAGCAAGAUGGUUUACAUGCUAAAUCUGCUAGUUCUCUUCUUGCUUCUUAUGUCUUCUACUUAAAUGUGUUGCUACAAUUUCUCCACCUUCUUCUCAAAUAUAUACCUUUUGGUUCACAACUCUGCGGUUGCCCA